rnacentral:rRNA from 1 species
CAUACCUAUUCGAAGGGAUAGGGUCGAUUUGGCCGGAUUUCACACAGGUGUUGCAUGGCUGUCGUCAGCUCGUGUCGUGAGAUGUUGGGUUAAGUCCCGCAACGAGCGCAACCCUCAUCCUUAGUUACCAUCAGGUUAUGCUGGGGACUUUAAGGAAACUGCCAGUGAUAAACUGGAGGAAGGUGGGGAUGAUGUCAAGUCAUCAUGGCCCUUAUGGAGUGGGCUACACACGUGCUACAAUGGUGAUUACAAUGGGCUGCAAGGUCGCAAGGCUGAGCUAAUCCUAAAAAAUCAUCUCAGUUCGGAUUGUUCUCUGCAACUCGAGAGCAUGAAGUUGGAAUCGCUAGUAAUCGUGGAUCAGCAUGCCACGGUGAAUACGUUCUCGGGUCUUGUACACACUGCCCGUCACGCCAUGGGAAUUGGUUUCACUCGAAGCU